GCGGCCCUAAGACUUUUGCCGGGAUGGCCAAGAAACUGGGAGGCUGAAGAGAGCUCGAAGUAUGGAGCAUCCCUGCCCUCAGCUGGUAAAUUUCUUGACGUGAAUGAACAGAACUCCUACGUACUGUUUAGGAGAACACUGGCUUCUUGUUGACCUUGGUGAUGCUGGGAGUUACUGCUGCAAUAAAGUUUGCCAAUGUGAUCAA